rnacentral:lncRNA from 1 species
GCAACAUAUGACCUCUUACUAUCUAAGGAAAUGGGUAAAAUCCUACUCUCAAAGUAGUUUUGGGCCAAGCUGGAUGUAUAGCGAUUUGAAGAGAAGAUGGAUGAAAGAUACCCACGAGGAAAGCUACAUGGCCUCAUUGGCAGCUGUUCUUUUGCCCCUGUUUGCAAAUCAGAGGCAAGUAACCCAUGAGCAAUAAAAACUCAAGAUGACUCGUUUGGGAUGAUAAAAGCCAUACUCAAUCACUCACCUAUCAAUGAAAAUGUUAUGACUGUUAUUGAGCAGUGUCCUACAUGUGAUAAAAUAUUUUUAAAAACACAAAAUUAAAUGACAUCUGUGUCAAGAGAGUUCUAUUCCCCUGGUCUCUCUGUCACCUCUAACAGUUCAGCUCAUCUUUGAAGGCUGCAGAACCUUGAAAGCAGCAACUUUAGUUGAAAGAAGGAAGAGGAGACCAAGGUUUCUGCACUGGGCUUGGAUAGACAUCAUGAUGGAAGGAGAGACUCCUGGUCUUGCCCUGAAGUCUUCCGCCCUUCGCUUAACUCACAGUCAGUCCGACACUGACUGUCAUCCCAAGAUUGUGGUGAUGCUUGGUCUCCAGUCUGGACUUUCCCUGUUCUUUGCAGAAAUGAGUUUUUCAUAGGAUAUCCACACAACUCCAUGUCCCCUCUCUUAUUCAUUUUACACGUCACCUCUGAGCUCUAGGACACUUUAAAAGGAGCCUUUGGGUCUAAACUCUAAAGACUGGGGUUAACUUUACUCCAGGACUUCUAGAAAAUAUUGUUAAACUGUGGUCUCUUAAGAAUAGUUGAAGGUGGGAUAAGGGCAGAAGCUGAUUUCCACCCAAAUAAUAAUCAAGAUGUUUUCAUUAUUUAGGAGUUUAAUGUUCAAAUAAUCAUAUUUAUUCUUCUGAUCUAAUUUUACUGGUACAACA